rnacentral:rRNA from 1 species
UACAGAGGGUGUAAGCGUUGCUCGGAAUUAUUGGGCGUAAAGGGCAGGUAGGUGGUCUGAUUUGUCUGUCGGUGAAAGCCCGGGGCUUAACCCCGGAAGUGCCACGGAAACGGUCAGACUAAGAGUACUGGAGAGGCUAGCGGAAUUCCCGGUGUAGCGGUGAAAUGCGUAGAGAUCGGGAGGAACACCAGAGGCGAAGGCGGCUAGCUGGACAGUGACUGACACUCAACUGCGAAAGCGUGGGGAGCAAACAGGAUUAGAUACCCUGGUAGUCCACGCCGUAAACGAUGGGUACUAGCUUUGGUGGGUCUUGACCCCCGCCGAAGCGGAGCUAACGCACUAAGUACCCCGCCUGGGAAGUACGGUCGCAAGACUAAA